rnacentral:lncRNA from 1 species
GAGCAGAUGGGCCGCAUCCUGCAGCGCACUGCCAUCUCCACCAACAUCAAGGAACGCCUGGACUUCUCCUGUGCCCUCUUUGGACCUGACGGGGGGCUGGUCUCUAAUGCCCCCCACAUUCCUGUGCAUCUGGGAGCCAUGCAGGAGACUGUGCAGUUCCAGGUGCGGCAGGCCCCCUCUCUAGCCUCCCUCGCUGACCCAUGUCCCUGCCCCACCCCCAUUCUGCACCUGUCUCCUGGUUUUAGAUCCAGCACUUGGGGUCUGAUCUCCACCCCGGUGAUGUGCUACUCAGCAACCACCCCAGCGCAGGGGGCAGCCAUCUUCCAGACCUGACUGUAAUCACACCGGUGAGGUUCACUGCCAGGCUACCUUUGUGGGGGUCACAGGUGGCUGACACAGCUGACUGUCACUCUCUACCCGCUAGGUAUUUUGGCCAGGUCAGACUCGGCCUGUGUUCUACGUGGCCAGCCGAGGGCAUCAUGCAGACAUUGGGGGUAUUACACCAGGCUCCAUGCCCCCGCACUCCACUGCACUGCAACAGGAGGGGGCCGUCUUUCUGUCCUUCAAGCUGGUCCAGGGGGGCGUCUUUCAGGAGGAGGGUGAGCCGGAGUGGGGCUGCGGUGGGGGUUCAGCAGGAUGGGAUACCUGGUUGCUGCCAGUGACCCAGCUGGCUGGACCCUGGGAUACAGCCCAGCAGCCCAGGUCUGCCCUGAGGCUGGGGAGUGGCAAAUGGUGACCCCGUGGUGCAGUUGCAGAUCAUCCCCCAGAGAUGAUUAGAGGUGAGAUGAAUUCUGUGUGGCCAAAGAAGUACUCCUUGGAGGUGGUUUGGGGGUAGGAAGUUGGCCAGGACACUCAAAGAGUAGAGUAUAGAAGGAAGAAGGGCCUAUUUCAGGUAGGUAGCUGCUGCAGUCCACACUGGGUUUGGGUGAAGGAUGUUUGGGAACUCAGGGCUGGUAUUGGAUGGGAUUUGGGGGGAGUGAGGGGUCAAGUUUGGAUGAAGGAGGAUGGAGGCCUUACACUGAACAGAGACAGGGAAGGUAGGGUCAGCGGAAAAGGUAGCACAUGGUCUGAGGUUACAGGGGCAUGGGAGUCCAGAGUAGCACCCCAGAACGAGGGUGGGUGAGUUGAGCAGGGUGGAGGGGUAGAAGUAACAGAGCCAUGGUCCACUUUGGGUGUCACAGACACAUAUAGGGUGACGUUGGUCAGGGGUAGCUGGGGUAGGAGGUGUGGAUCAUGGAGGAACAAGUGUAAGUGUAAGUGUAGGGGAUCAGUGCCAGGGAGCCUUGGAGACUGUAACUCAGAAGGGAAGGGGUGUUCCUGAAGAGUGUAGGAGUCUCUGGGUCAGAUCUGCAUCCCUUGCAGGAGUGAGAGGGAACCUUGUCCAGAUCUGAGAAACCUGCAGGUUGGGGGAUAGCACAGGCAGCAGUCUGAUGCUCUUUUGAGGCACUUGGCUGGGGAUGUCAGUGGGAGCUGGCAGGGCUAAGGGCAUAUCGAGGAGGAGGAAUGCCAAGGAAGUGGCUUUUCUCCUGGGAGACAUAGUAGAAGUGGGCUGGAGAAGGCAGGAGGGAUAAGGAGGGAGGAGAGUUUGCUAAGGGACCAAUAUGCCCUCUAGGCAUCUCCAGCUCCAGGGAGGUCACUGGCCAAGCUGCCCUUAGGCGCUGGCUAUCAGAAGGAUAAAAGGAUGGAGGCUGGUGCUUCAGGGAAUGGGAGUCAGCAGGACAGGUGGGGAUUCAGUGGAGGGCCAACAGUGCCCAGUGGGGGUGCAGUGGGGCUGGAAUAGGGCACCAGGUGGCUGAGGAGAUGGGGGCAGCUCAGUGGUGACCUCAUCCAUUCCAUCCAGCGGUGACAGAGGCCUUACGGGCACCAAGCAAGAUCUCUGGUUGUAGUGGAACUAGGAAUCUGCAUGACAAUCUGUCGGAUCUCCGUGCCCAGGUGGCAGCCAACCAAAAGGGCAUACGGUUGGUGGGGGAGCUCAUCGGGCAAUAUGGCUUGGAUGUUGUGCAGGCCUACAUGGGCCACAUUCAGGUGGGUCUAGGGGCAGGGAGGUGGGAGCCCCACUCUGCCUGCCCAAGGUGCAGGGCCACUCUGAAAGUAGCAUGGCUGCCAUGGGACCCUCUCCCUGCCAGGCAAAUGCAGAGCUGGCAGUGCGUGACAUGCUGCGGGCCUUUGGAACCUCCCGGCAGGCUCGGGGACUACCCCUUGAGGUGUCUGCGGAGGACCACAUGGAUGAUGGCUCGCCUAUACACCUCCGAGUUCAAAUCAACCUGAGUCAGGUCAGACCUAGUUGGGAGACAGGGAGGGAGCUUUCUGCGCCACCCCACUGCUGAUGCCUUCACCCUUCUCCUUCCUGGGCAGGGCAGUGCUGUAUUUGACUUCAGUGGCACUGGGCCGGAGGUGUUUGGCAACCUCAAUGCCCCGCGGGCCAUAACGCUGUCGGCCCUCAUCUACUGCUUGCGCUGUCUUGUGGGCCGUGACAUCCCACUCAACCAGGUUCGCAGGGGGGUGGAGUCUGAGGUCGGUCCCUACCAGUGCGAGGUCAGCAGGUGAACCUGAGGCUGGAGGUCACCCUGAGUGUGUGUGGGGUCAAGGUCAGCCCAACGUGGACUGAGCCCGGGAGGUGGGCAUGUUUCUCUUGGAAUCAGAGAGGGACCCAGCCCCAUUUGCCCCUGAGAGCUGCUUGCCCAUGCACAGGGCUGCCUGGCACCUGUGCGGGUGGUGAUUCCUAGAGGCUCCAUCCUGGACCCAUCCUCAGAGGCAGCGGUGGUGGGCGGCAACGUGCUCACGUCACAGCGUGUGGUGGACGUCAUCCUGGCGGCCUUCGGGGCCUGCGCUGCCUCCCAGGUGUGAUAGGCAGGCUGGGUGCGGCCCUGGGGGCUUCUGGGAACUCUGGGAGGGCGAGGGCCUGCUGGAAGCGGAUCCCCGCCCCAGCCAGGUACAGUUAAGGCUUGCUCCUGCCAGGGCUGCAUGAACAACGUGACCCUGGGCAAUGCCCAUAUGGGGUACUACGAGACGGUAGCGGGCGGCGCAGGUGCGGGCCCCGGCUGGCACGGACGCAGCGGCGUGCACAGCCACAUGACCAACACGCGCAUCACCGACCCGGAGAUACUGGAGAGCCGGUGAGCUACGCGCGCCAGGGGCUAGGCAGCUAGGAUGGGGCCGAGCUUGGGUUCAGCUGAGCUGAGCCCUUCGUACGCGUAGGUACCCGGUCGUCUUGCGCCGCUUUGAACUGAGGCCGGGCUCUGGGGGCCGAGGCCGAUUCCGGGGCGGCGACGGCGUGGUCCGCGAGCUGCUCUUCCGCGAAGAGGCGCUGCUGUCGGUGCUCACAGAACGCCGGGCCUUCCAGCCAUAUGGCCUUCAGGGUGGGCGGCUCCCCAACCCCUGCAGACCAGUCUGUUCCCCACUCACUGCUGCAUUCGCGCUCCCCCGCCAGUCGUGUUUUCCCCUGACUCUCCAUCUCCUUCUCUACCUUUCCUCCCUGACCAUCCAGCUCCUCUUUCCCUGCA